GAGAGAUUGUGCCCUGCGUCGAAGACGCAUAUUGGAAUGGCACAAUCGACCUGCCGCCGAACGAAUGUGAGGGGGCGAUACCCAAU
rnacentral:sRNA from 1 species